rnacentral:lncRNA from 1 species
UCUGUGGGCGCCGCCCCCAGCCUGGGCGCGUCCAUCGUCGAGUACCUUCUCCUCUGCCUCCCCCUCCCUCUGCUUCUAUCUCUCUCCAAUUGCCCUCCCUGGCCUGCGGCCGCCCGGUCCUCCUUCCCAGCCCAGUGCAGCCAGGCACCCGGGUUCGGCUUGCUCAGGUCUCUGUCCGGGACUGGGAAGCCACGGAGGGCCGGGAAAGUGGCACACUCCUGGAGCUCAAGCUUCCUACUCUCUCAUCGCUGAAUAACUACCGGGCAGGACUGGGUGGAACAGACAGCAUAUUUAGGUCAUUGAUGGGCUGCUGGGUGGAUGGAGCUGGAAAGUGAUGGGCACUGCUUUCUGGGGCUGCCCAGGUUCCUUCCGAGGGCUCGCUUUUCCUGGGCAGAGCGGGAAAGAGGAGGGGCAGGCCGGUCGCGAAACGCAAAUAGUCGAGAAUAGCGAUCCGGGGAGAAGCAGGUGUCUGUGGGGCCCAAGAGAAGUACCAUCUCGAGCAUCCUUAGUCCAGAAAUGGGGAGCUAUGAACCUUAAGAUUAGACCACUAACUCGAAUCUAAAUGAGCUGCCCUUGUCUCCUACAAAAGAAAAGUUGGGCAGCUCCUGAACUUUUCUUUCUUCCAUCAUGCUCUGAGCCCAUUCCUUGAAAACUA